GUAGAUUAUACAGCGUUGGUCAUUUAAAAUUGGAAUUCAUUUCUUCCUUUUCAAACAUUGGAAGAUCAUUUGAGACGAUGCCACCCUGAUAAAAAGAUAAAGGCAGAAAUGACGUAAAUCUUGGGAUGUUCAACGCUGCGAUCAAAACAAAUGUGUCAGCAACACAAAGUCCUGAAAGAAGAACGUUUGAAGGUUUACUGAAGCCAGACUUGACCAGAACAACAAUACUUAUGAUGUUUCCAGGGAUUCCGAAUAGCGCAACAAUAGGGUUGACUAGCACUGUAGCGAACGUGUUGAUGGCAUAAAAAAUUGCUUUCAGUUAUCACAGAAAGAAAAACAACAAAGGUGGCAACAUUUAACACACAAGUGAAAGUUAAGCAUACUGUACAUAUUAUUACAUGAACAUAAAAUAUAUCCAUUUAAUCUGUUAAGUAGAGGGAAA